rnacentral:rRNA from 1 species
GAUGAACGCUGGCGGCGUGCUUAACACAUGCAAGUCGAACGGAGUGGCGAACGGGUGAGUAACACGUGGGUGAACUGCCCUGCACUUCGGGAUAAGCCUGGGAAACUGGGUCCAAUACCGGAUAGUGUGGGAUGGGCGGGCGGCCUAUCAGCUUGUUGGUGGGGUAAUGGCCUACCACUGCGGCGACGGGUAGCCGGCCUGCGAGGGUGGACGGCCACAUGGGGACUGGGACACGGACCAGACUGCUACGGGGGGCAGCGGUGGGGAGUAUUGCACAGGGGGCGGAAGCCUGAUGCAGCGGCGCCGGGUGGGGGAUGACGGGCAUCGGGUUGUAAACUGCUUUCACCAUCGACGCGGUAGAUGGAGAAGAAGCACCGGCUAACUACGUGCCAGCAGCCGCGGUAAUAC